GGGUGAGUAACACGUAUGCAACCUGUCCGGUACAGGGGGAUAAGCGGCGGAAACGCCGUCUAAUACCGCGUGACAACCCGAGGGGGCAUCCCCUUGGGUUCAAAGGAGAGAUCCGGUACCGGCUGGGCAUGCGGCGCAUUAGCUAGUUGGCGGGGCAACGGCCCACCAAGGCGACGAUGCGUAGGGGUUCUGAGAGGAAGGUCCCCCACACUGGAACUGAGACACGGUCCAGACUCCUACGGGAGGCAGCAGUGAGGAAUAUUGGUCAAUGGGCGCAAGCCUGAACCAGCCAAGUCGCGUGAGGGAAGACAGCCCUACGGGUUGUAAACCUCUUUUGCCGGGGAGCAAGCCUGAGCACGUGUGCCCAGGCGGAGAGUACCCGGAGAAAAAGCAUCGGCUAACUCCGUGCCAGCAGCCGCGGUAAUACGGAGGAUGCGAGCGUUAUCCGGAUUUAUUGGGUUUAAAGGGUGCGCAGGCGGGCUGUUAAGCCGGCGGUAAAAAUUCAGGGCUCAACCCUGUCGAGCCGUCGGAACUGGCAGUCUUGAGUGGGCGAGAAGUAUGCGGAAUGCGUGGUGUAGCGGUGAAAUGCAUAGAUAUCACGCAGAACGCCGAUUGCGAAGGCAGCAUACCGGCGCCCAACUGACGCUGAGGCACGAAAGCGUGGGGAUCGAACAGGAUUAGAUACCCUGGUAGUCCACGCAGUAAACGAU
rnacentral:rRNA from 1 species